UGGGGAAUUUUGGACAAUGGGCGAAAGCCUGAUCCAGCCAUGCCACGUGCGGGAAGAAGGCCUUCGGGUUGUAAACCGCUUUUGUCAGGGAAGAAAUCUUUCGAGCUAAUACCUUGAGAGGAUGACGGUACCUGAAGAAUAAGCACCGGCUAACUACGUGCCAGCAGCCGCGGUAAUACGUAGGGUGCAAGCGUUAAUCGGAAUUACUGGGCGUAAAGCGUGCGCAGGCGGUUGUGCAAGACAGGUGUGAAAUCCCCGGGCUUAACCUGGGAACUGCACUUGUGACUGCACAGCUGGAGUACGGCAGAGGGGGAUGGAAUUCCGCGUGUAGCAGUGAAAUGCGUAGAUAUGCGGAGGAACACCGAUGGCGAAGGCAGUCCCCUGGGCCUGUACUGACGCUCAUGCACGAAAGCGUGGGGAGCAAACAGGAUUAGAUACCCUGGUAGUCCACGCCCUAAACGAUGUCAACUGGUUGUUGGGAAGGUUUCUUCUCAGUAACGUAGCUAACGCGUGAAGUUGACCGCCUGGGGAGUACGGCCGCAAGGUUG
rnacentral:rRNA from 1 species